AAGCCGUUCACAAGCGGAACCAAUCUCUCUUCGUUUCCUGUGGGUUAGGAAGGGAUCUCACUUCCACAUACGCCUUUAGUAGGCUAGUGGCUGAAGAAAUGCGGCGAGUUUAACUCAUGCAGGCAAGACGCUGUCUCUUCAGGGCUGAAGGGUUCUGGGUAGAAUUGAAACCUGAGCCGCUCUGCUUACACAAUGAGCAAACGUUUGAUGUUCGGCCUUUUUAUUUUCACUCUAUAUCCAGGUGCUGUGCUGGGUGACUCGGUCCAGCCCAGGGAACCCCAGAUAUCUGGAGCCGAAGGCGGCUCCGUGAUCCUCAGCUGUUCUUAUGAAACCAGCUACACUGCUGGUGUCUAUCUCUUCUGGUACCGUCAGUACCCAAACCGAGGCCCGCAGUACAUCCUGCGGAGAGGAACAGUCAGCUCUGUCAGUAAUACUGAAGGUUUCGCCCAGAAGAGGUUUUCUUCCCAGGCUGAUGGCAACUCCACAGCUCUGAACAUCACAGCCCUGGAGCUGGCGGACACAGCGGUGUAUCACUGCGCCCUGCAGCGGGCACAGUGGCAGAGCCACGGAGCAGAGCUGUACAAAAACCCUCCCCUUCCCUUCACCUUCAGAGGCUCAGCAUGGAAGAGGAGCCAGAAAGAGCGUCCCCAUGACCCAGAAUUCACCCUCAGUGAGAGAUGCAGCACUGGGCCACAGCUCAGACAGGUGCUGUCCUCCCUGUCAACAUCUCGCCGAUACAUUACAUAUAUAUCCAUAAAUACACGUCAGUGCAUCGAUGCCUUUCUGCCUUUCUUACGGCUCUUAAAUCCCAGCCCAAAUGUCUAA